GGUAUAUAUAACUCAACAUUAAAGGGAUUAAAUUACAAUACAUAUACGGUAUAUGUAAAGACCAGGAACAUUGAAACCCGGAUAGAUAAGAGGUUUGGAAGCCAUGUUGAAGAAUUACUUUAUCCAACGCAGGGUACUGCAGUUUUACAUGUCCUCCCAAUGGCCACAGAAUGCAUCUGUUCAUGGAUCCGAUAUAACUCCGAUUAAGGAAUGUAUUUCACGAUAAUAUAAAUACUCGGCAUUAUAACACACAAGGGUUUAUAUGAAUGACGGAUCAGAAUCAUCUGUUUAUUGAUGAUCAUUACUGGCAGACUUUAAAGGAUAUAUGUGAAAAUACCUUCGUGGAAAAUGUGUAUAGAAAAGAACACUACUGGAAUUAGGUGAUGAUAUAUAUGAAAAGACCAGGACGAUUCUUCGCCCAGAUAGAAGAGAAGCAACAAUAUACUUUAUCCAAAGCAGAAAGGUUAUUCCAGUUUUACAUGUCCUUUCAAUGGAUUAAAUCGGAUUAGACCGGAAAAACCGAGGCUCCGUUUCACAGCAGCUGUAAGCUAUUAACAGAUGUCUAAAUUGUGCAUUCCUUCACGGGCAAUGGUGAAGUUUUAAUAUCAGUGAAAAAUUCUCGAAAGGGGGAUUAUUAUACAAUAUAUAUAUUGGAGUAUGAUACAACCAACCAGUGGAUCAAAUUUAUUUCCCGCAAAUUGGUACAACAAAUCCGUUCAAUUAAUUAAGUGUUAUAUUCACGUGAUACAGAUCACACAGGAUGAUAACGUACAGAGAUGACGGGUCAGAGUCGCCUGUUUAAUGGUGAUCAUUACUGAAACAUUGUAAAGGAUAUAUGGAUAUAUGUGAAGCCACCUGUGUGACCAAUUUGUCUAGAAAUCAACACUACAGGAAUCAAAUUAAAAUAAAUAGGAAAAGAUCAGGAAUCUUAAAGCCCUGGUAGAAAGAAAGUAGGUUAUUCCAGUUUUACAUGUCCUUUCAAUGGAUUAAAUCCGGGGUUGGAAUUGGUCCCCAGCAGCCAUUGCUUGUCGUAAGAGACGACAAAAUAAGCGGUGCUCUGGAUUAGACCGAAAAACACCCGAGGACCCGUGUCACAGCAGUUGUAAGCGAUUAACAGAUGUCUAAAUUGUGCAGCCCUUCAUGGGCAAUGGUGACGUCUUCAUAUGAGUGAAAAAUUCUCGAAAGGGAGAUUUAAGUAUUAUACAAUUAACCAGCGGAUCAAGUGUAUAGCCCACAAAUUGAUACAACGCAUCUGUUCGUGGGCUUAAUAUCAUUUUAAUUAAAUGUUAUAUUUAAUUAGAUGUUAUAUUCACGUGAUAGAGAUCACACUGGAAUAUAACGUACAGUGAUGACGUGUCAGAGUCGCCUGUUUACUGAUUACUGAAGCAUUGUCAAGGAUAUAUGGAUAUAUGUGAAGCCACCUGUGUGACCAAUGUGUAUAGAAAUCAACACUACAGGAAUCAAAUUAGAAUAAAUAGGAAAAGACCAGGAAGAUUGAAACCCCGGUAGAAAGGAAGGUCAGAGGACAAGUUAACCAUCACAUUAUAUCCAAAAAACAGGUUAUUCCAGUUUUACAUGUCCUUUCAAUGGAUUAAAUCCGGGGUUGGAAUUGGUCCCUAGCACCCAUUGUUUGUCGUAAGAGACGACAAAAUAAGCGGUUCUUUGGAUUAGAUCGGAAAAACCGAGGUCCCGUGUCACAGUAGCUGUAAGCGAUUAACAGAUGUCUAAAUUGUGCAGCCCUUCACGGGCAAUGGUGACGUCUUCAUCUGAGUGAAAAAUUCUCGAAAGGGAGAUUAAGUAUUAUACAACUAACCAGCGGAUCAAGUGUAUUGCCCACAAAUUGGUACAACAAAUCCGUUCAUUUAAUUAGAUGUUAUAUUCACGUGAUAGAGAUCGCACAGGAUGAUAUUGUACAGUGAUGACGUGUCAGAGUGGCCUGUUUAAUGGUGAUCAUUACUGAAGCAUUGUAAAGGAUAUAUGGAUAUAUGUGAAACCACCUGUCUGACCAAUUUGUCUAGAAAUUAACACUACAGGAAUCAAAUUAAAAUAAAUAGGAAAAGACCAGGAAGAUUAAAACCCCGGUAGAAAGGAAGGUCAGAGGACAAGUUAACCACCACAAUAUAUCCAAAAAACAGGAAAAAGAAUGGAGGACUAAACUAAUUCCAGCCGUAUCCAGGGUAGAUGCGUCCUGUAAUCCCGAUACAGAGCAUAUUAAAUUUUGCUCAGAACAUUUUGAGGACAGUUGUUUAUUGUUUCACGAUUGCUGCUCGUUGCAGUGUCUUCUAUGGUUGGUUAUGCAUGAAGCAUGUUUUAUUUCUUUUGUGGUUACCGAUAUAAGUACUGGAUGUGACUUGUAAUUUCAUUCAAGCAAUUCAGUUACUGUGUCAUUUACUACAUUUUAAACACUUCAGUCCAGACCACUUGCCAUCAUUCCUUCAAGACCUAUCAGCUGAGGGAUGUGAAUCAUACACAUUCGGUUCAAGGAUCAGAGAAAUCAGUAGAGAAGAUUAGAAUCAACAAAUUCUUGGAAGCCUUGGAAAAGCUGUAUAAAUGCACCAGUGUUAAAGAUAGCUCAGAUGUCAAUAUUAAAUGUUCUCAGGGAUACCGCUUUUUUUUUCUACUCACAUAAUCAAUAGCAAACCAUCCAACAAAAGUGUGAUUCGUGCUAACAGUUGUUUUGGUGGUGUUCAGGAAGUGGCAAUGUGUAGUGCAUGAUCCAAGCUUCAAAGCUUAACGGAAAACUCAUCUCCUCAUGAGCUUCAUCCCAAAACCCCUCUAACACAUGUACCCCAAACAGCACUAAUAAAACAGGUCAACGUCAUCAGAGAGGUAAACAGAAAACGUUGGAGCCUUGUAGAUUCUUUGAGCAAAAGUAAUAUAAAAUAACAUCAAUUGGAUACAUUGUGGACCAAAUAAUCAAAUAUUAUUUUUUGCAUGUAUCAUAUACAUUUACAGGUAUACAAGUUAUAAAAAUUAAACUUCAAACUAGCUAAUAACAAGUAUUACUUUCAUCUUGUCAUAUGCAAUCAAAGGUGAGACAGCCCCUGUUGCUGAAGAUGUUGGAGAGGGUCUCUUUGCUACUCUUCAAAACCAUAAACCAGGAGACACCCUGAUGGACCUUUUCUGGAAGGAACAAAAGAAAGCUUUUACAACAAGUCCAAAAGGAAAAAACAAGAUACAUCCAUGACUGGCAAGCCUCUGUCUCAACCAGACCAGGAUUUUCAAAGCAGGAAAAAAUAAGAUGGUCCUCUCACAUCAGACAUGUGAAGGAAUCAUCAUGACAGCUACCAAGAAAACCAGGUGCGAUUGCAAAGGAUCCUUGCAAUGAGCAUAGUUCCUAAGGACAACACUGCAGAGAGGACAUGGGAGAAGAGAAAGCCCACAGUAUCCCAGAGUCCAAUCCAAAAAAAUUAAAAGACAGUAGAAUUAAAGAAAUUCUAUAUAAAGCUUGUUAUUGACUCAUACUGUUGAUAAUUCACCAUUAAGAUCUAUUGUUAAACUAUAUCUACAGUCAGAAAUAAAGCUUUCUUUAUGCAACAACACAAAAUGAAUACACUCCUUAAGAAGAAUUGUAAAGUAGUUUAUUUGAAAAUUUGUAUCACAACAUAUGGGUGUUUUAAAACAUUAUGAAACAAACUUUGAACUGAAUAUACUGUGAACAUCUGACAAAAUUGACAAGCCAAUACAUAAAGGUAGCGACUUCAAUGAACGUCUCCAUUUUUGACAUCUAUUUUAACUUCAGAUAUCUUAUCUCAAUGUCAAAAUAUAAAAAUAUACAUGACAUUCUUUUGAUGCAAACACAUUUUUUCCACAAGGUACAUUAACACUUUCCUCAACUACAUAUACUUAUAAAUAUUGCAUUUCAAAAAGCCAGAACAACCCAUAAUAUCAUUGUCUGCUUUCACAUCAUAACACAUCGCAAAAAAUAUGUAUCAAUCAAUAGAUUUACGAAGAGCUUUUUGCUUGCUUACCAUUUUUGUUUUGGAAUAGAAAUUUCCCAUCAUUUGUCUGCAUUUUGCAUGGCAUCUGACUUUGUGAAAAAGAGAUAAUAUUGUUAAAAACAACUUUUCUUGCACCUCAGUUCUUGACUCGGAAUAAUACGUACAGUUAUAAAACAUUGUAACAGCUUCAUUUCCCAGACAAAUGGAAUCAGUAAAUUGUUGAAGUGUAGGAACCGACAUUGAAAUACGCAAGUUCCUAAAUGCUAGCUCCAAUAAAACAAAAACGUCUACAAUAUCAGACAAUGGCUGUGUCAGCCCACCUCUAGACUUAACAAAAAUCAAUUCAGUUGUGUCAUCUUUUUCAAUAAGUUUAUCUAUGCAUUUUUCAAUUUCAGGACAUAAACUAAAUUUCCUUUUGCACCGAUAUAGCAUAAAGAAUGCAAUGUAUGCAGUUAUAUCUCUUUCCUCUGAUUUCAAAAUCCUACAAUCGACAGUAUUUGAUUUUGUGGUGGAUUGACAAGGAGACAUAUCUAUUAUGAUUUUCUCUGCUGAUUUUAGAGAAAUGAAAGCAGAGAGCUGACGAUUUUUGACAAUUUUAAAAAUUUCAUCAAUCAGUGAAGGCUGCAUAAUCUGGUAAUUGCGCCAGGCCUUUUCCCUGGCUGCAGAAGGGAAAAUUUCUGUCGCAAAUAUGUUGUUAAGGGGUUUUAAAGCUGGAACCAAUUGGACAGCCGUAAAGAUAUUGUACAAAUAUUUUUUUUUAUAUUUGCAAAUGACAUUACUAGACUACAUUAAUUGAUAUAAAUAAAUCCGUUUAACCUUUUCCUUUUCUAAGUACUGAAUAGCAGAAAGCAUUUCCAUAUAGUUGUUAUGAUUCAUGUUAUUAUUAUACAAUAGAAUAGACAACAGCUAGCUUGCAUCAUGACAUCUUUUGAGGUCCACAUGAUUACUAUUCGUCAUUUUUAUAUGAACAAUGAUAAUGAAGAUACAAAUGAACCAUUAUACAAUAUAAUGAAACAACAAUUGUUAAAAGGAUAUGAUAGACUAUUGAUUCCAUCUUUGCUUGAAAGAGGCUUUGCAGAUUUUUAAUGUACACAUAUCAAGAUUUCUAGCUCCCCUUCUUGAUGAAACAGAAUGCAGCCAGUUGUUAAAGUACAAAACUGACAAUUACAACUAUUGAAGCCAAGCUAUGUACUUUUAUCAAAACAAACAGCAUGAACAAGCUAAAGUUUUUAAAAUUGUAAAGAUUGUGCUUGAUCAUAGCUGAAAAAGGAAAAUAACUAAAAAUAAAAACAUUAUGUUGAAUAAAUCAAAUACAAAACAUUGAUACAACUGUGUCUUUCUUUUUAAAUUAAGUUUCCAUUUAUAGACCCGAGUAUUGUUUUUAUGUGAUCAGGUAAUAUCUCGUCACUUUGUAUGUUAAGAAUAACACCUUGUGAUAAUCCCACGGUUACUUUGGUCCUCCACAUGUUUAUUAACAAUAGAAAUUGCAGGCAAUGGCUGUUCAUGAAGAGUGUCUGCAUCGAAAUCCUUAUUAACAAACACAAACUUAUUUUAUAUUUACAAAUUACGUCACAACGUGUUUCAACUUUCAGAUUCACUGAAAGUCGGAGAUUCCGAUUGAAAUAAUUCAAUAAAAACAAACUUAAUGUAAAUUUUAUAGGGUAUUCCUAAUCAUUACUUUGAUAUGAAGUAUUAAUGUAAAUUUUAUAGGGUAUUCCUAAUCAUUACUUUGAUAUGAAGUACUAAUGUAAAUUUUAUAGGGUAUUCCUAAUCAGUACUUUGAUAUGAAGUAUUUACCUCGGAUUCAAAUAGGGCGCGUAAUUCCAAAUCGAAGCUAUUGUUUCCACUUGCCAUCAUAUAAUAGGAAGUCCUAUAUAUGCCUCCCGGUUAGGGCGCUGCGAAAACAGGAAGAUGAUUUGCGCGAAAAUGAGCCAGCGGUCCCUCCGUUAUAUGUCUAUACCCAAACUAUAUUAUGAUAUAGGGCUCGCAGCGGGUGUGACCGGUUGUCCAGGGAUGCUUUCUCUUCCUAGACACCUGAUCCCACCUUUGGUAUAUCCAGAGGUCCGUUUUUGCCCAACUCCCUAUUUUGCAUUACUUGUGGGAGCUAUGAGAUUGAUCACUGUUCGUUAUCUUCGCCUUUCAUUAGUUAAGUUUACUUCCGAUUGAUUCUACUAACAAAUUGUUCUGAAUAGUAGGUUUACCAAUAUAACAAAUAACUUCUCCAUAAUGUUAACCAAAUAUCUUCUCUAUAGUGCUGAACAAAUUGAUCCAGAUAUAGAAUAAAAGAUCGUUGCUUUGAAGACAUGUUUAUUAUUAUUCUCACAAUAUACGUAUGCUUGAUUUGAGAUUCGGGUAGGAAACUUGUCUUGUGGAUUUGUAAGACGAUAUGAAAAUAUGUAAUUUACAUGUAAACCCUUCUAUUCUAAUGCUGUUUGACAAAUUUGAUAAUAAUAUCUUAAUUUUUACGAUCAACGUUCAAGAUAAUGAUGAGGAUGGUGAAAAUCUGGUAAUCCUAAACGUUUAUCAUUCCCUAUACAAGGAGGUUCUUGUAUCAUUGACUUAGAAACUGUGGAACAUUGCAUUGUGUUACAUGGCUUCGAUAAUAGUAAUUGAUUUGACCAGGGGGGGGGGGGUGGCACUCUA